CCCGGAUCACCACGAAACUCCCACAUGGACCGAAGCCGCUCUCACCCAAGCUCUCACUCAAGCCUCCACCAACGCCAAGCACAAAAGCUACGAAGAGCCCUCUCCCAAACCCACACAGAAUGUCAAAGAGACUCGGAGCUCCGACAAGCGGAUGGGGGAGACCGGGGCAGAAGCCCCCUUUUACACACUAUAAAUGGUUACCGGGACUGUUUCUGACUGGUGUGGGCUGAAUGGAGAGCAAUUUACAACCUACAACAUCUCGGCACCAGGACACUGGCACCAUCCUUCUCUUGACCUCGAAGACCUCGUAAGAGGGACAUGUUCAUUCUUUUUUUUUUUGUGUGUGUGUUUUUUGCAGUUUCAUUCUUGGGUUAUUUUAAUGGCUCCUAUGACGUACAAAACGAGAAGUAGUAGUUCUUCUGUUUCACAUACCUAUCUAACCAUCGUCAUGCCUGAAAGAAUAUGCACACAGAUAGCAUGUUUAGCCUGUAUAGCAUUAUUACACACCUAUAUGCAUACAACAUCUUUAAACCCCAGCACAGCUCCAUAUGUUACACAAUCUAUUGUUGUCUACGCUAACAGAAAACCAGCACGCUACUCAUCUAGCUAUUAACUUAAGCUAAACUACAAACACUAAACUACAAACACAUUUCAAUCUUUACCUUCAAUUAUCACUCACAUGUCUAGCAAGUACAUACAGUUAGACACGCAAUUCCAGCUAGGACUGGACAUGAUUAUUUUGUCUAGCAUGUUUCCUGAUACGCCUGUUUGUAAUAUAUAUGCUAUAAUAUGCUAUAACUCGUGUAUUAAAAACAAAAAAAAAGUGCAGUAUACCACAAUGACGUUAAAAGACACAUUGUUACCCUGUCUCUAAAGUUUUGUGAUAAUGCUGAAAUGUAUAUUUAACACUGCACUGAAAAAUAAAGAAUUAAAAAAAAAAAAAAA